rnacentral:lncRNA from 1 species
AGAGACGGAAAUCUGUGAUACGAGUGGAAUCAGUAUUAUUAGGUACCUCUAUCUUUGUUAAUUUUGUCUUAAGUUCUGCUCUCUGUCUUGGGUUUUUCUUCAUAUUCCGGAAGAAACCUGUAAGACCUAGUACCGAUAUUGUUUUGGACUCGAAUUUGCGCUCUUUUAGCUAUGAAGAGCUACGAGAAGCUACAAAUGGAUUCAAGGAAGAAUUAGGAAAGGGUGCUUUUGGAGUGGUUUUCAAAGGGGUGAUGCAAAUUGGUUCUGGUGUCGAAGUGGCGGUGAAGAAGCUAAACUGUGUUAUGGCAGAUGUCGAGAAGGAGUUUAACACAGAAGUGAAUGUAAUUGGUCACACGCAUCACAAGAAUCUGGUUCGUCUAUUUGGAUAUUGUGACGAGGGGCAGCAGAGAUUACUAGUUUAUGAGUUAUUGAGCAAUGGCACAUUGGCAAGCUUUCUUUUUUCUGAUAUCAAACCAAGUUGGAGACAGCGAAUUGAAAUCGUUUAUGGCGUUGCGAAGGGGCUUUUGUACUUGCAUGAAGAGUGCAGCACGCAGAUUAUCCAUUGUGACAUAAAGCCGCAGAACAUACUUCUCGAUGAGUAUUACACCGCUCGGAUCUCUGAUUUUGAAUUGGCAAAACUUUUGAUGAUGAAUCAGAGCCAGACUCAUACCGCCAUCCGAGGAACAAAAGGUUAUGUUGCACCUGAGUGGUUCAGGAACUUGCCAAUCACUACCAAAGUUGAUGUAUACAGCUUUGGUAUUGUGCUGCUGGAGAUCAUUUGUUGUAGGAGAAGCGUUGACAUGGAAGGUAACUGUGAAGAGAAAGCAAUUUUAACGUACUGGGUUUAUGAUUGCUACAUUGAAGGAGUACUAGAUGAUGUUGUAGAUCAUGAAGUCGAGGCCUUGGGUGAUCGAACGACACUGGAAAAGUUUGUGAUGGUUGCGAUUUGGUGUAUUCAGGAAGAUCCGUCUCUUAGGCCUACUAUGAGGAAGGUUGUGCAGAUGCUUGAAGGAGUUGCCGAAGUGCCUGUUCCACCAUGUCCAUCCCCAUAUACCAGAUAAGGUUGAACCACCGUUGUAUAUAUUGUCACAGUAGUAGCUAGCUUGUUUCCUUCUUAUCAAUCUUUUUUUAGUUUAACAAUUUGUGGCUUUGUAAUGUGAUGAUUUGUUACGAAAACAUUUUCAUUUGCUUAAUCUAUUGCUGCUGAUGAAGUUUGUGGUUUAUCUUGUACGGAUUGGAAUUAUCGCUGGCCCCGCUACUCCCUACUGUUCUUUGUAGAGAGGGUGGCGGCGAAUUAUGAUCCUUUUUAUCGGCAAAUACUAGUUCAGUAUAGUUUUCAGCCACGCUACAAACUUCAUUCACAUUGGAAAGAGUAGCAGAUUCUGAAUUCAAAAUGAACACCGCUGCAGUCUCAUUACACGAAAUUGCAGCUGGAUAUUACUCCUAAUUCCUUCCAUUCAUCGUUCCCCUCAGACGGGUUUUCUUAUAUCUUCACUCUGAUUUGGUUUUGUUGCUACCAGUUUGCUUCUACUCUACGCAAGCAGAUAAACCUUGCUUCAUUUAAAUCCUCCUAAAAAGAACAGAUGAAUUGCCCUUAUUUCAACACUGCUUCUAUAAAUUGCCCUUUGUACUAGUUUUAUAGAGACAGCCCAGCGGCCCACUACUAAUUACCAUCAAUACUGACCUUAACUUAACCACAUGUGCAAUUCAAUAGGUGUGGUUUAUACAAAAUUAAGCAAUUAGUAGUCGAACUUUUCUAUAUAAGAGGAUUUAAACUUUAUCAAGUUUCCGAUGUGGCCAUGUGGGACAUGCUUCAACAUACUUAAUUGGUAUAAACAGAAAAUACACUUCUUUGUGUGUUUUGGACAAAAGGCUGGUUUCUCCAUAAUCUAGACAUCUUGGAGUCCCAAGUACAAAUCGUGCAGUCAGCUGCUUUGAAGUGGAAUAGUAUUUUUCCUGUUUGCGGGGUGACUUCCAUUGUGAAAAGUCAGAACCGAGUUAUAGUGUCGAAGAAGAAGAUUUGAAGGCUCUCCCAAUUUUCCCAUAAAGUAUGCGACCCCUGUCCUUGAAGAAGACAUCUAAGAUCUGCCAAAACGUACUUCUCUGAAAUUUUCUAGAUCAAGAAAAACCUCGAAAACAUGCCUACAACCUGACUGAUGCGCUAUCUAGUCAAAGUAGGAUUUCUACAGUACUCUUUUUAUUUGGAUUUCCUUUUAUGUUUAAGGUUUUGUUUUGCAUGGGAUAGUUGUCUAAAUCCUGAAACUGAAAUUUAAAUAAGACCGGCGAAAGGACAUACAAGAGAGAAGUCGAAGACGGGAGAGUAAUUGGGAGUUUUGGAAGUGCUGGUUGCUUAUAUCUAAGUAAUAAAGGAUAUGUAUGAUAAAGUAAGGAAGUAGUAAGAACUCAUGAAUGACAAAUCGAAAGCUUUCCCAUAAUCAUAGAGUUACACCAGGGCUGAGCUUUAAGAUCUUACCUUUUUGCAUUAGUAAUGGACGAGUUAACAAGAUACAUUCAAGAUGAUAUAUCUUGGUGUAUGCUUUUAGUAGAUGAUAUAGUCCUGAAAGAUGAAAUGCAAGAAGAAAUUGCGAUGGGAUGUGUUGGAAUCUAAAGGUCUCCACCUAAGUAGGUCAAAGAAAGAGUAUAUGAAGUGUAAGUUCAUGGGAAUGGGGAUUCAAAUGAGUAGGGGCGAGGAUUGGAGAUCAGAAAGUUCAAAGGCUAAGUGCUUAGGAUGAGUGCUUUCAUUAUCUUGGAUUUAUCUUGCAAAAAAACAAAGAAUUGGAUAAAGAUCUCAACCACAGAAUACAAGUUGAACGGAUGAAGUGGAAAAGUACAUCGGGUGUGUCGUGCAAUAGUCAUAUGCCGCCAAAGUUCAAGGAAAUUUUUUAUAGAACGGCAAUAAGGUCAACAAUGUUUUAGGGCACGAAAUGUUGGGUGGUCAAAAAAUAACAUGUGCAAAAAAUAAUAUCCGCAGAGAUGAGAAUGUUUCAAUAGAUAUGUGACCACAUGGGAAAUGAUAAGAUUAAGAAGGAGAAUAUCUGAGGUAAAGUAGCAGUGGCUGCAAUUAAAUUUUAGUAUGAAAGAAAAUCAGUUAAGGUGGUUAGGGCACGUAAACCAAAGACCUACUGACACGCCCUGAUCCCGAUAUUCUACGAACACUAGGAUAGGCACGUGCUGGCUAACACCCGAGGGUGACGAAAGCCAUUUAUUGAAUGCAAAUGCUGAGGAUAAGGAAUAAAUAAGACUUAUAAAUAUAAAUAUAAUGAAUAUGCAUUUAAGGAACGUGUUCAGAGCAUAUAACUAACUAGAAUACUAAAAGAAAUAAUAUAAAAUUGAAUGAAUAAAAGAAUGGGUCCUACACCGAGAAGACUCGAAGAUGCCGAUGUGGAAAUGCGUUGACGCCAGGAUUGUAUGCCUCAAUUCUAAGUCCUGAAAGGGGCGCAAAACAAACAUGAGUGAACCAAGUUGAUAUAUAUAUAUAUAUAUAUAUAUAUAUAUAUAGUAAAACAGUUAUCAACAUACUAACCCCCAAGUUAUAUGAAAACACAUAUAGCAUGAUAAAUAAAAUAGGUUUUCUGAAACCUAGCAUGCCGUGCAAUGUCUCAAAUCAAAACUCAUAUAUAUCAUAAUUAGUGAAUGUCUCUCCAGGCCCCAUGCCAGCUCCCCGUCUUUGUGCCAAUUGCCAGACGAAAAUCACCCCUAGGCCCCGUGCCAGCUCCUCGUCCCUGUGCUAAUAGCCAGAGGAAAACCAUAUUCAAGCCCUAUGCCAACACCGUAACGGUCACCCGAGACGGAAUCUAUCCUUCACCCCGUAGCAGAAUAGGGACCACUAGGUAAGUACAAAAUCAUUGAACAUACAUAUAUUUGAAAAGCAACUUCAUAGCAUAAUGUCAUCUAUCAUCUAUAUGAUAAAGAGGUGCUCUAAACAUGUUCUAAAUAGUAUAUCGCUAUCCAUAAGAUAUUCUAUAAAGAACACAGGUUAUAGGAAAAAUAGUAGUAAUUCAAUCUAGCCUCAGUAAGCAUGUUAUCCCAAAGCGUUUCAUAGAACAUAAUUGUUAAAUCAUGCUUUUUCAUGUAUGCAUUUCUAUUAUCAAAACAUGCAUUUUAGAAGGGUCCACUCACAGAUACUUAGCCACUGAAGAACCACGCAAACUAGCGAACACGGAAACACCAUAAUAAUUGCCUCUAAGCACAUAAAUGGUCUAAUUAAUAAAACUCUAUUACAACAACUGAAUUUGGGAAAACAAACAUCGAAAAUAGAUUCAGGACGUCAAAUUACCCUAAGAAGGGUCCUGGGUAAAUUUCGUAUAAGUCAAUAGAAAGAUUAUUAUCUGACAUAAUAUUCCCUAAUGGAAUAUUUCCUAACAGAAUAUUCCCCAUAAAUGGGCCGGUUAGGGUUUAGGUUUUGAAAAAUUAAAGGGUUUAGUGGUUAAGGCCCUAGGUUAAAAGGGUUUGGGUUAGGCUUUUAAAAGGGUUAGGCUUUAAGGGUUUCUAAUUUAAAAAGGGUUUUAGGGCAAGGUUAGUGACGGGCUUGGGCCCAGGUGCAUGGCCUAAGGGCCUUUGGGUUCGAGAAAACAAUAAAAAAUGAAUUAUGAGGAUGAAAUGGGAAAGUUUUAGAGUGGUUUCAAAGCUCACUUAUGCCGGGGUUCGUCGAAGCACACUUUGAACAGUGACUAUGUCACUGUUCCGUGAAAGGGGAAGGAUGAGGACAAUCAUGGUGGUCCAGGGUCACGAUGGGGAGGUCCAUGUGGUUGAUAGUGCUCGCCAGAAGGACUGGGUGCGUGCGUGUGUGUGUGUGUAAGGUGCUUGGGGGAGGAGGUUAUAGAGAGAAUUUAGAGGGAGAGAUAAGGGAAAGUGAGGGAAAAGAUAAAACUGAGAGCAGUUCCACCAGGGAACUGAUAGGCCAGAACCCACCCAAAAAACUAGCCCGACACCCAGGGUAUCCACUCCAACCUAGCAUUUUGACCAGCACCCAGCCCAAGCUGGUCUCCAAGCCAACCCAAAAUCGACAGAGGUGUGGGUCGGCCCGUAUAACUCCAACGUGGAGUCGAAGGCAAGGGUGGAGUCUAAGGCAAGGGUGGAGCCGAAACCGAAGGCAUGAGCUGCUAGAAUCUCACGUAUGGUGUCGUCGUUGUCGUCAUCCAUGUCCUUGAUCCUGAACCAGUCGUAAUACACUCUGCAUCUCAAGCUCUAGAGGCUGUGCCGCUUCACUCUGAGGUUCCUUAAUUGGGGACUGGAGAAGUCCAGUUUCCAAUGCUACCAUCGCCAGAAGUUGCAGCCUCAGCCACAAAGAAGGAAUCUUGGCCGCAGUAUCUCCAGAAACUUCUCGAAUUCCAACACCAAUGUUUCUCUCUCCGGCCAGUCUGGUGGCCCCAACCUCCGCCACUUCGUCACUCAAGCUACUUUCAUCGGUGCUGAAGCCUAGCCUUAGUGAGUCCACAGUUCACGCCCACACACAGUGUCUUUCAAUGUUUUUGUUAAUUUUUUAGGAAUUUAUGCAAUGAUUCGAAUUGGGUUGUCUUGGAAAGAGGAUGGUGGUGGUGAUGAUGAUGAAGGUGGCGGUGGGAUCUUACAUGUGCUAUGGUCUGCUUCAUUGGAGGAGCAUUUUUGGGGAGUUCAGAAACGGUAAAGUUACAAAUUAAAAAUCAAAUUAUUAAUUUUUAUUAUUUUAUAAUAAAAAUUAAUAAUAUUUUAAUAAAAUUGACUAGGCUAUUUAAUUUUAGGGGUGGAGAUGCAUUUGGUCUAUUACUGUUCAUUGGGGUCUAUCAUUGUUCACUGAAUGGAUAAAUGCGUUGGGUGCUAGCGCAUUUGUGUUAGGGGUGGAACUGCUCUGAGAGAGAAGAGAGAGAGAGAUCAGGGGACACAAAUCAGGGGGUGGGUCCCUUGGGCUCAUCAAUCAAGGCCCUAAAAAUAAUUUUUAAAUAAAAAUCCAAAACUAUCUUUAAAAUCGGGGGUGGGGUGUAACACCUACACAUGCUUCGGUUAGAAGAUGCGAGUAUGAGACAGAGACUCGAGUAAAAAGGGAUAGAAGAAGAUCUAUGAAGACUUGAAAAUAGACUUUAAGAAAAUAUAUGGAAUACCUGGUGCAAAACAGAGACUGUUCUAGGAUUCAUACAACCCACCCUAUUUAAUGGGAUAAGGGUUGGUUGUUGUUGUUGUGUGGAAGAGUGCGGCAAAGUCAUUCAAUUUUUGUUAUUUUUCUCUUCUGCUUUUGCUUAUGACAAUUAUAAUGACUAUGAGUAACUAAGCUCUUUUUGCUAGGGCAUGAUGCAACCCUAGUAUUACAAUCUAUUGAUCAUCUCUGCGAUGUUGGAUUCUUACUAAUAGUGAGCAAUUCUAGGUUAAUUAAGAGUUAAAUUCUAGGUUGAAAUUUUGUAUGAAAGCACUAAAUUAGAUAUAGAGUAUGUUUUUGGAAACAUCUUUGUACAAAAUUCUCAACGCAAGAAGAUUAAUGACUGGUGAACUAGGUGAAUCUGAUAAUUCUUCGGAAUAUUGAAAAGAAAUUCUUCAGAUUAUCGAAAAUUAAGCGAUUUUUUUUCCUAAAACCCUUCAAAGCAUCAAUUAGCUCCUCAAAGAACAGCCUACCCACUAUUAGUAUUAUUUUUAGCCUUCCUUUUUAGGAUAUUCUCAAAAUGCAACAGCCAAAGAGAAAGCCAUGUCGUUGGGCAAUAAAAUAGAAGCAUGGAAAGUUGGAAACAAAGGUCACAUAUGAUAUCUUAUUCAACGGAUAAACUUUGUCAAGAAAACGCAUUUUAUUGAUAUUUAAGUAAGCCGUUUCCCAACGUAUCAUUUCUGUUCUAAUAACUUGUGCAGAUUGUUUUAUUGGUAUAGGAAACUGUAUCUGUUAUGUACUUUGCUUAGUCUUGAGGAGGAAGUAUAUUGAUGCUGGCUUGCUUUGUACUUCAUCCCGUUCACAUAUUAAAAUACCAUCUAACCGUUUUCAUUCCAUGGAAAUGAUUUUGCCGAUGCAAUACGCAUAAUAUCAUACUAGUUAGUGUCAUUGCUAGUAAUAAUGAUGCAUAAAGGCGGUCCGCCUCUUCUCCUACUAGAGUUUUGCUCUUGCUUUAUUAUGUAUCAUCUACUUGAAACUUAUUUAAGAAGUAAAUACUUUAGCUUUUUGUAAUCUCAACGGCCGCGAGAUAUGAAAUUGCAAGAAAAUUAGCUAAGUUUUAUUGUUAUUAGUAGGUUCUGUUUUGUCAAAUGCUGUUUCUUAUGGGAUUCUUAUAUUUAUUAACAUGGAAAAGCAGAUGAACAUGCACUGAGAAGCAAGAAAGUACACCCGGAGGAAGUCACCGGCAGAAGGAUUCGCAGGAGAAUAGACAACAAGGAUGUCAAUAUGGGAAGAUCUAACUGCGCACGUAAUGAGAUAACUCAGGUCGGACAUGCACGUGUACGCGCCUCAGGUGUGGCAAGGGCUAGGGGCAUGCACGGCAUUGUGCACAACCUAAUGCCUUCUCGUCCCAAAUUUGAAGAGGAGCUCAUUAAAAACGUUGAUGGUGAAGCAAAGAAGGCACAAAGGAAAAGGUUCAGGCUUCUAAGCGAAUUCUAUGGUGCUUAGAAAAGCUUGAGGCAGUGAGGUACCUCAUUUGGACUAGAGCAAUGGUUUCUGAGUUGCAUGUUUUUCCGUUUCCUAGUGUCGUCGUUUUUGUCCAAGUUUUUUAAGGAAGUUUGGGUUGUUGGACUAAAACAAUGCUUUUCGUGGUUGCACGUUUCGGUUUUGCAGUGUUAAAAUUUGGUUAAAAUUUGGACAUGAAUUUGAUACUAUGAUUCUAUGAACGUGCGUUCAAUCCCGAGUGACCUCCACAUGACUUGGAGCUUAGCAUCGAUCGAAUUCGGAUCGAGCUGAGGUGGGCUUUACACACACCAGGGUCCAGAUUCAUCAUCUAAUGAGCCCAUGAGUCCAUUUGGUCGCGGUAGGCAAUAUCCAAGCGCCUCGUCUGUCAGGUCCAUCUUAGGCAAAUGAAAUGGCUGGCCUGACCAGGGAUCCAAUUUGGUACGAAAUGGCUGACCCGACCUGGUGAGAUGAACCACACCUCAAUGGGCUUCAAAUGGUCGAACCAUACCUCAAACCCGAAAUCAGAUCUUUCCGAAUCUCACAAUCCGGAGUCGAUGGAUCACUGUUCAAGAGAGGGGAGAGAGAGAUUCGGACCCUUUGUGUGAGGUGGGCAAAAAAAAAAAGGCUAAUAAGAACUAUAUGAUUUAAAAUGAGAAUCCGAAUCUUUGCGUCCGUCGAUGCUGGACUGCGAGAUUCAACUCGCCCAUCCUUUUGGGCACAGGGACCGGAGAACCAAUCCCAGAGGAUCUCGAUUCCUCAAACCUGUGAUUAUCCCAGCUUGGCCUCGGGUGUUUUACCCCAACGGCGUAUAUGUUACAUUAAAGACUUUAGUUCGUACAUAGUUUUUCGUGAAUACAUAAAUGGAGAGAAGAUAUUUUUGCAUUUUUCAGAAGUCUCUAUCACCCUAAGACCUAGUCCUCUUUGUUUAAUCAUGGAGGUCUGUUUUCCUAUCUUUUCCACAGUUGUGUCCAUACUCCUUGAGAAAUAUUUUAUUGUGACGGAAAUAUGACACGUGUUUUUAUGUAAGGAGUGGAAAAUUUUAUUUUUUAAGUUAUUAACAUUUUUACAUAUAUAUUCUAUCAUUUGUAUAAUAACACAUAAUAUACCAGCUCGUGUACCGAUCAAACUAAAAAAUCUCUCAUACUCCUGCCCCGCUGUAUCCGUCCUCAAUCUCCAUUAACUUUUCACAUUUUCUUUGUCAGCCCCAUUGUUGAAUUUUGACUGGUGGACUUGAAUGGCCGGCACAUGCUUGAGUCAUGGUCGUAUUUAAUAAAAGUCUUUUUGGUUUGGAACAUUCAUAUAUAUUAUUAUAUAUUAUAUAAUUGAACCUAAAAUCUCAAAGUCAUAAGUACUUUACCGGUUUGGAACAUUCAUAAAUGCUCAUAAAAUAGACGAGGGACGAGAAAAAGAUGAAAAGAUAUUUGAGAGAGACAAGUCAGCGGAUCAUUACUAAUAAUCACAUCAAUAUUGGCUCAACUUGCAACAGUACAAAGAGUUGAGAGAGACAAUGAGUUCUAUCAUAGAAACUCUCAGUGUCAUUAUGUAUAGAACUAUUCAUUAUAUUAUUUUCUCAAAGUGAAAUUCUUGUAUUUUGAACAACGAUUAAACUAAUUUGACCAUGAUAUGUGUAGGUUCGGAGAAACUAUUGUGUAGGCUCGGAGGAAUUAUUAUGUGUGACCGUAGCGGGGUCUGAGGUCAUGUCGUGGCUGAUGGUUAACAAUGACUUGAAAAAAUGGGGUAGUCAAGCCUAAACUAUGGUGCACGCACAUUUAUAUGAAGAAACAACAAGGAACCAAUGCUUUAUCAAGAAAUAUGGCUAAUCAAUUAAGCUAAGUUGAAAAAUUGCUUCUUUUGCAAUGGCAGUGGCUCUUUCUGUAGAGAUGCUUUUGUUCUCCUCAUUGUUUUUGCUACCAAUUUCUGUGAUUUCCCAAAACAAUGGAAGAGUAGCAGUUGGGAGUUCUCUAACUGCAACUACAGGCAACUCCUCAUCAUGGCUUUCUCCAUCCGGUGAUUUCGCGUUUGGAUUUUCGCCCCAUGGAAACAAUCAUCUUUUCAUGCUUUCGAUAUGGUAUGCGAAAAUCCCAGACAAAACCGUAGUUUGGCAUGCAUAUAAGGAUAGCAACCCCGUAGUUGCACCUGGGGGAUCAAUUUUGAACUUGACUGCCAACAGUGGACUAGUUCUUAACAAUCCUCAGGGUGGAGAGAUAUGGAAAUCCGGAACAACCUCCGGGAUUGUUGCGAACGGGGUAAUGAAUGACACCGGAAACUUUGUCCUUCAAGGCGAAAACUCGGGGAGCUUGUGGGAGACCUUCAGCAAUCCUACAGACACCGUUUUGCCUGGGCAGACAAUUGAGAGAAAUGGGAAGCUUUCGUCUAGGCAAUCGGAGACUAACUACGCAAAAGGGCGGUUCCAGCUGCGCUUGCAAGAUGAUGGAAACCUUGUGCUCAACACCGUCAACUUGCCAACAGAUUUUGCCAACAACCCAUACUUCGACACGGCAACGACCACAGGAACUGUGCCAGGUAGUGAAGGUAAACGAUUGGUGUUCAACAGCUCAGGGUACAUGUUUGUUCUGAGAGAAAAUGGUGGAAGAUUCGAUCUUACAGGGCCACAGGGAGUCUCGGUGAGGGACAACUACAUAAGGGCAACUCUUGAUUUUGAUGGGAUUUUCACUUUAUAUUCUCACUCGAAAAACUUCACUGGAAAUGCAAGCUGGAGAAGUCCUCUGUGGUAUACGCCGGAUAAUAUUUGCCUAACACGGGGCGCUGGUGUUUGCGGUAACAACAGUAUCUGUAAGCUCAAACCAGAUAAUAGGCCAACCUGCGAAUGCCCAAAAGGGUUUUCUUUUCUUGAUCCGAAUGAUAUAUACCGAGGCUGCAAACCCGAUUUUAAACAAGGCUGUGAAGAAGAUGAACUGCAAGGUCCCAGAAAAGAUUUGUAUGAUGUCGAAGUGCUGACAAAUACUGAUUGGCCAAACUCAGAUUAUGUGCAGAUAAACUCUUCUACCGCCGACAAGUGCAACGAGUCCUGCUAUCAAGAUUGUUUGUGCGCUGUUGCUGUUUUCCGGUCUGAAACCUGCUGGAAAAAUAAGUUACCUCUCUCGAAUGGGAGAGUGGAUGUCAAUCUUAACUCACAGGUCUUCAUAAAAGUCCGAAAGGAUAAUGCCACUCGGCAGUCUCCUCCAAAGCCAAUUCCAGAUGAUAAAGAGAAGAGCCAGAAAUCUGUGAUACGCGUGGAAUCAGUAUUAUUAGGUACCUCUAUCUUAGUUAAUGUUGUCUUAAGUUCUGCUCUCUGUCUCGGUUUUUUCUUCAUUUUCUGGAAGAAACCUGAAAGACCUAGUACCGAUAUUGUUUUGGACUCGAAUUUGCGCUCUUUUAGCUAUGAAGAGCUACAAGAAGCUACAAAUGGAUUCAAGGAAGAAUUAGGAAAGGGUGCUUUUGGAGUGGUUUUCAAAGGGGUGAUGCAAAUUGGUUCUGGUGUCGAAGUGGCGGUGAAGAAGCUAAACUGCUUUACGGGCGAUACGGUGGAUGUCGAGAAGGAGUUUAAAACAGAAUUGACUGUAAUUGGUCACACGCAUCACAAGAAUCUGGUUCGUCUUUUUGGAUAUUGUGACGAGGGGCAACAGAGAUUACUAGUUUAUGAGUUCUUGAGCAAUGGCACAUUGGCAAGCUUUCUUUUUUCUGAUAUCAAAUCGAGUUGGAGACAGCGAAUUGAAAUCGCUGAUGGCGUUGCCAAGGGGCUUUUGUACUUGCAUGAAGAGUGCCGCACGCAGAUUAUCCAUUGUGACAUAAAGCCGCAGAACAUACUUCUCGAUGAUUAUUACACCCCUCUGAUCUCUGAUUUUGGAUUGGCAAAACUUUUGCUGAUGAAUCAGAGCCAGACUCUUACCGCCAUCCGAGGAACAAGAGGUUAUGUUGCACCUGAGUGGUUCAGGAGCUUGCCAAUCACCACCAAAGUUGAUGUAUACAGCUUUGGUGUUGUGUUGCUGGAGAUCAUUUGUUGUAGGAGAAGCGUUGACAAUGAAGGUAAUUGUGUAGAGAAAGCAAUUUUAACAUACUGGGUUUAUGAUUGCUACAUUGAAGGAGAACUAGAUGCUGUUGUAGAUCAUGAAGUCGAGGCCUUGGGUGAUCGAACGACACUGGAAAAGUUCGUGAUGGUUGCGCUUUGGUGUACUCAAGAAGAUCCAUCUCUGAGGCCUACUAUGAUGAAGGUUGUGCAGAUGCUUGAAGGAGUUGCCGAAGUGCCUGUUCCGCCAUGUCCAUCCCCAUAUACCAGAUAAGGUUGAACCGCUGUUGUAUUUAUUGUCACAGUAGUAGCUAGCUUGUUUCCUGCUUAUCAAUCUUUUUUUAGUUUAACAAUUUGUGGUUUUGUAAUUUGAUGAUUUUUACGAAAACAUUUCCGUUUGCUUAAUCUAUUGCUGCUGAUGAAGUUUGUGGUUUAUCUUGUACGGAUUGGAAUAAUCACCGCCCUUGCUACUCCCUAGUUUGUGGUUUAUCUUGUAAUGUGAUGAUUUGUUACGAAAACAUUUUCGUUUGCUUAAUCUAUUGCUGCUGAUGAAGUUUGUGGUUUAUCUUGUACGCAUUGGAAUUAUCGCUGCCCUCACUACUCCGUGUUCUUUGUAGAGAGGGUGGCGGCGAAUUAGGUUCCUUUUUAUCGGCAAAUACUUGUUCAGUAUAGUUUUCAUCCACGCUACAAACUUUAUUCACAUUGGAAAGAGUAGCAGACUCUCAAAUUCAAAAUGAAAACUGUUGCAGUCUCAUUACACGAAAUUGCAGCUGGAUAUUACUCCUAAUUCCUUCCGUUCAUCGUCCCCCUCAGACGGUUUUUUUAUAUCUUCACUGUGAUUUGGUUUUGUUGCUACCAGUUUGCUUCUACUCUACGUAAGCAGAUAAACCUUGCUUCAUUAAAAUCCUCCUAAAAAGAACAGAUGAAUUGCCCUUAUCUCAACACUGCUUCUAUAAAUUGCCCUUUGUACUAGGUUUUUAGAGACGGUCCAGCGGCCCACUACUAAUUACCAUCAAUACUGACCUUAACUUAACCACAUGUGCAAUUCAAUAGGUGUGGUUUUAUACAAAAUUAAGGCCUCAAAGCAAUUAGUAGUCCAACUUUUCUAUAUAGAGGAUUUAAACUUCAUCAAGUUUCCGAUGUGGCCAUGUGGGACAUGCUUCAACACAUUUAAUUAGUAUAAACAGAAAAUACACUUCUUUGUGUGUUUUGGAAAAAAGGCUGGUUUCUCCAUAAUCUAGACAUCUUGGAGUCCCAAGUACGAAUUCGUGCCAUCAGCUGCUUUGAAGUGGAAGAGUAUUUUUCCUGUUGGCGGAGUGACUUCCAUUGGAAGUCAGAACCGAGUUAUAGUGUCGAAGAAGAAGACUUGAAGGCUCUCCAGACUUUCCCAUAAAAGUAUGCAUCUAAGACCUGCCAAAACGUACUUUUCUGAAAUUUUCUAGGCCAAGAAAAACCUCUAAAACGUGCCUACCACCUGACUGAUGCGUUAUCUAGUCAAAGUAGGAUUUAUACAGUACUCUUUUUAUUUGGAUUUCCUUUUAUGUUUAAGGUUUUGUUUUGCAUGGGAUAGUUGUCUAAACCCUAAAACUGAAAUUUAAAUACGACCGGCAAAAGGACAUACAAGAGAGAAGUCGAGGAUGAGAGAGUAAUUGGGAGUUUUGGAAGAGUGCUGGUGGCUUACAUCUAAGCAAUAAAGGAUAUGUAUGAUGGAAUAAGGAAGUAAUAAGAACUCAUGAAUGAAAAAUUGAAAGCUUUCCUAUAAUCAUAGAGUUGCACCAAGGCUGAGCUUUAAGUUCUUACCUUUUUGCAUUAGUAAUGGAAGAGUUAACGAGAUAUAUUCAAGAUGAUAUAUCUUGGUGUAUGCUUUUAGCAGAUAAUAUAGUCCUAAUGGAUGAAAUGCAAGAAGGAGAAAAUGUGAAGCUUAACCUUUGGUGGGAUGUGUUGGAAUCUAUAGGUCUUCGCCUAAGUAGGUCAAAGAUAGAGUAUAUGGAGUGUAAGUUCGUGGGAAUGGGGGUUCAAAUGAGUAGGGGCGAGGAUUGGAGAUCAGAAAGUUCAAAGGGUGAGUGCUUUCAUUAUCUCGGAUCUAUCUUGCAAAAGAACGAAGAAUUGGAUGAAGAUCUCAACCACAGAAUACAAGCUGAAUUGAUGAAGUGGAAGAGUGCAUCGGGUGUGUCGUGUAAUGGUCGUAUGCCGCCAAAGCUCAAGGAAAAAUUUUAUAGGACAACAAUAAGGUCAACAAUGGUUUAGGGCACAAAAUGUUGGGUGGUCAAAAAAUAACACGUGCAAAAAAUAGUAUCUGAGAAUAUCCGAGGUAAAGUAGCAAUGGCAGCAAUUAAAGAUAAUAUGAGAGAAAAUCAGUUAAGGUGGUUUGGGCACGUAAACUGAGGACCUACACAUGCUCCGGUUCGAAGAUGCGAGUAUGAGAUAGAGGCUCGAGUCCAAAGGGGUAGAGAAAGACCUACGAAGACUUGGCAAUAGACUUUAAGAAAAUAUAUGGAAUACUUGGUGUUAACGGAAUACUUGAUGCAAAACAUUGAGCAUUCUAGGAUUCAUACAGCUGACCCUACUUAAUGGGAUAAGGGUUAGUUGUUGUUGUUGUGUGGAAGAGUGCGACAAAGUCAUCCAGUUUUUGUUAUUUUUCUCUUAUGCUUUUGCUUUAAGCAAUUUUUUCCUAAAACCAUUCAAAGCAUCAGUUAGCUCCUCAAAGAACAGCCUACCUACUAUUAGUAUUAUUUUUAGCCUUCCUUUGUAGGAUAUUCUCAAAAUGCAACAGCCAAAGAGAAAGCCAUGUCGUUGGGCAACUUUCAUAACCCGCCAUGAACCAAUUUAUUUAUGUUACAAUGGUGAUUUCCAAAUCAGGUUAGAUACAGAUCCCCUUAGGCCAUCUCCAAUGAUGGUUGGCUAGAGGGCUCAUUUUAGCGAUCUGGUCCUCCAAGAUAUUAAUAUUUUAAUGAACAGUCUAUGACCAUAUUUGCCUCCGUCUCCAACCGAGGGCCAUAGGGCUCAUUUUAGCCCUAUCACAAAAAACCGUCUUCAACCGAGGGCCAAAGGGCCAAACAUAAUUUAUUAUAUAAAUUUAAAAACUACAACAACUUAAAUUCAAAUCUAACAACAACUUAUAUUUAAAAACAACGAAUUAAAUUUAAAAACUACAAAUUAAAUUUAAGGGAAUGGUGAAUGAAUGGUUUAGGUAUUUAUAGGAAAAAAAAUUAGAAUUUUUAAGAAUUUAAAAAAAAAUGCCCAAAAAACCUAUAAAAAAAAUUCAAAUGCAACGGCUAGCUGACGUCAGCUAGCCGUUGCAUUUGAAUUUUUUUACGACGAUAUGUAUAAACGACUAGAUACCAAAGAAGGAGAGUUGGAUAUCUAUAAACUAUCUAGAGCAAGGGAAAAGAAGACAAGGGACCUAAACCAAGUGAGGUGCAUCAAGGAUGAGGAUGGAAAUGUUCUUGCUACAGAGAACGCGGUUAAAGACAGAUGGAGAGGUUAUUUUCAUAAUCUUUUCAAUGAAGGACAUGAAAUGAGUGCUUCUUUAGGGGAGUUGAGUAACUCAGAAGAGUGUAGAAACUACUCUUUUUAUCGUCGAAUCCGGAAGGAAGAAGUGGUUGUAGCUUUGAAGAAGAUGAAGCAUAAAAAAGCAAUAGGCCCAGACAAUAUACCAAUCGAAGUGUGGAAACUUUUGGGAGAACAGGUAUAACAUGGCUCACUGACCUUUUCAAUAGGAUUUUGAAAACGAAGAAGAUGCCAGAUGAGUGGCGAACGAGCACUUUGGUGCCUAUCUACAAGAAUAAGGGCGACAUACAAAAUUGCAUGAACUAUAGGGGUAUUAAGCUAAUGAGUCAUACAAUGAAGCUCUGGGAGAGAGUCAUUGAGCAUAGAUUGAGGCAAGAGACACGGGUUUCGGACAACCAAUUCGGGUUCAUGCCAAGGCGCUCAACCAUGGAGGCAAUCUAUCUCUUACGAAGAUUGAUGGAAAGAUAUAGAGAUGGGAAAAAGGAUUUACACAUGGUCUUUAUAGAUUUGGAAAAAGCGUAUGAUAGGGUCCCAAGAGACAUUCUUUGGAGGAUUUUUAGAGAAGAAAGGAGUACGAGUAGCAUAUAUCCAAGCUAUAAAGGAUAUGUAUGAAGGAGCAAAGACUGCCGUAAGAACUCAUGAAGGACAAACCGAAAGCUUUCCCAUAACUGUAGGAUUACAUCAAGGCUCAUCCUUAAGUCCUUACCUUUUUGCGUUGGUAAUGGAUGAGUUAACAGGACAUAUUCAAGAUGAUAUUCCUUGGUGUAUGCUUUUCGCAGACGAUAUAGUGUUGAUAGAUGAAACUCAGGAAGGGGUAAAUGCAAAGCUUAACCUUUGGAGAGAAGUGUUGGAAUCUAAAGGUCUUCGCCUAAGCCGAUCAAAGACAGAAUAUAUGGAGUGCAAGUUCAGUGCAAAUGGAGGCCAAAACGAGUUAGGGGUGAAGAUCGGAGAUCAAGAAAUACCAAAGAGCGACCGUUUUCGUUACCUAGGAUCUAUCUUGCAAAAGAACGGAGAAUUAGAUGGAGAUCUCAACCAUAGAAUACAAGCUGGAUGGAUGAAGUGGAAGAGUGCAUCCGGCGUGUUUGUGUGACCGCCGUAUGCCACUGAAGCUCAAGGGAAAAUUUUAUAGGACGGCAAUAAGGCCGGCGAUGCUGUAUGGCACAGAAUGUUGGGCGGUGAAACAUCAACACGUACACAAAAAUGGGUGUAGCGGAGAUGAGGAUGCUUCGUUGGAUGUGUGGGCACACGAGAAAGGAUAAGAUUAGGAAUGAGGAUAUCCGGGGUAAAGUAGGAGUAGCCGAAAUUGAAGGAAAGAUGAGAGAAAAUCGGUUACGGUGGUUUGGACAUGUGCAAAGAAGGGCCUACUGACGCUCCGAUUAGAAGAUGCGACUAUGGGACAGAGGUUCAGGGCCGAAGGGGUAGAAGAAGACCUAGGAAAACUUUGGAAGAGACUCUAAGAAAAGACUUAGAGUACUUGGAUCUAACGAAGGACAUGACACAGGAUCGAGCACAAUGGCGUUCUAAGAUUCAUAUAGCCGAUCCCACUCAGUGACUUGGAUUUUCCAAGUCUCCAACCGAUAAGUUUUCCUCACUCGGGAAAUUAAGGGAACACUACCCCAACCUACAUGCUCCACUCAGAAAGCUUCAACAUACAAGCUUCAACAAAAGAAAAUUCAAAAGAACUUAGCGAAGAAGGCUUUGGUGUAUUUAACACAAUACGUUGAAAUGAAGGAAAGCUUAUUUAUUGAUAUCCCCGAUAAGCUACAAAUAUGUACAUAUGCAUGAGUCAAAAUAAACACACAAGAGGGAGCCUUCACAAAGGUUGUUUAGGAGAAGUCUCAGCAGUCGGUAGAGCCCCAGAAAGAGAAGGCACCGGAGGGGGAUCAUUUGGAGCCUCAGUACUGGACAGAACCUAGAAGGAGGAGGCAUCAGAGGUUGAUCAUUCGGAGCUUCAUUAUGCGGUACAGCCCCAGAAGACGAAGGCAAUAAAUGCCUUUGGAACAAACCCACAAAUCUCUGAUGAUCAAGUAAAACCUGACCAUCAGUUUCCUUCAUCUGGUCAAGCUUCCUCUUCAUGUUUGUAGCAUAGUCAUGUGCGAGCCGGUGCAACUGUUUAUUCUCAUGCUUGAGCCCCCUAAUCUCCUGUUUAAGACUCAUCACUUCAGCCGCCAAUGAAUCAACUUGGCGGGUUCGAGCAAAUAGGCGUUGGGCCAUAUUAGACACAGAACCUGCACACUGAACACUGAGAGCCAGCGAAUCCUUAACAGCUAACUCAUCAGACCGUUUGGAAAGUAGUUUGUUAUCUUUGGGAGUGAGAAGGUUCCUGGCCACCACCGCAGCGGUCAUAUCAUUCUUCAUCACGGAAUCCCCAACGGUAAGAGGACCAGUAAGGGAGACGAAGGAUGGGCGCCAUAUGUUGUCUGGAGAAGGCGGGGCUGCCUCUUCAACAAGGUUCAAGUCAAAACGACGGUCAGAAGGGCCAGACAUUUUCAAAGGUGUUGAAGAGAGAAGAGGUCGGACAAAUCAAGAUCUUCGAAGUGCAAGAAUGAAGCUUCUACUGGUGGAGAUUCAAGUGUGCUUUGGAACUUAAUGCCAGCCCCUAUAAAAAUCUGCAUUCGACGGAGCUUCAGAAAUCGAAGAGGCGCCUGCUCAGAAAUCGAAGAGGCGUUUGCUUUCUCAAAAGUUGGGCUGCUUAGAGAUCACGAGGGUUGAUCUCAGAAAUCGAAGAGGCGUUUGCUCUCUCAAAAGUUGGGCUGCUCAAAGACCACGAAGGCCGAUCUCAGAAAUCGAAGAGGCGCUCGCUUUCUCAAAAGCUGGGCUCCCCAGAGACCACGAGGGCCGAUCUCAGAAAUCGAAGAGGCACCUACUUUUCCAGCCUUGUCAGCACCUGUCACACGCACAUUCAGCUUUGCGGAAAUUAUGGGCAUUCUGUCGAAGACUUCUGAGGAAGUAGAAAACACAUGAAUCUUACUGUUCAAUCACCCACUUCCCACACGCAACAAUAGCUCACGGGUACCACAAAUAACUUUGCCAAAGUUCUCUGCCAAAGUUGAGCACGUGAAGCUUGCAGCUCCCACUACAUCGCUCUGACCAAGAAGGGUAAAAGAAUAGCAAAGAAACAACACUAACAAAGUUUAGACCCAUAAAUUUUGAAGGUCUAGCUACCAUAUUAUUACCCACAAGGGUAAAGGAACAGUACCACUGCUGGAUAAUUGGAAAGUCCCUGUGUGUCAACCUCUGUGCUUCGUGGCAAGGUAGACUAGCAAACAUGCCCAACCUUUACUCACAUUCGAGAAAACACUCCCAAUAAGAUUGCUUGCUCCAAAAUCGAAGAGGCACCGUCCUCCAAAUCUCGAGAGCCAGACUCCCAACAUGACUAAUUUCUUAAAAAUCGAAGAGAGGGUAAAGGAACAGUACCAUUGCUGGAUAAUUGGAAAGUCCCUGUGUGUCAACCUCUGUGCUUCGUGGCAAGGUAGACUAGCAAACAUGCCCAACCUUUACUCACAUUUGAGAAAAACACUCCCAACAAGAUUGCUUGCUCCAAAAUCGAAGAGGCACCGCCCUCCGAAUCUCGAGAGCCAGACUCCCAACAUGAUUACUUUCUCAAAAAUCGAAGAGACACUGCUUCCCGAAUCUUCGAGAGCCAGACCCCCAGCAUGAUUGCUUUCUCAAAAAUCGAUGAGGCAUCGUUCUCCGAAUCAAUCGAAGAGGCGCUCGCUUUCUCAAAAGCUGGGCUGCUCAGAGACCACGAGAGGGCCGAUCUCAGAAAUCGAAGAGGCACCUACUUUUCUAGCCUUGUCAGCACCUGUCACACGCAACAAUAGCUCAUGGGUACCACAGAUAACUUUUGCCAAAGUUCUCUGCCAAAGUUGAGCACGUGAAGCUUGCAGCUCCCACUACAUCGUUCUGACCAAGAAAGGUAAAAGAAUAGCAAAGAAACAGCACUAACAAAGUUUAGACACAUAAAUUUUGAAGGUCUAGCUACCAUAUUAUUACCCAUAAGGGUAAAUGAACAGUACCACUGCUGGAUAAUUGGAAAGUCCCUGUGUGUCAACCUCUGUGCUUCGUGGCAAGGUAGACUAGCAAACAUGCCCAACCUUUACUCACAUUCGAGAAAACACUCCCAAUAAGAUUGCUUGCUCCAAAAUCGAAGAGGCACCGUCCUCCGAAUCUCGAGAGCCAGACUCCCAACAUGACUACUUUCUCAAAAGCGAAGAGAGGGUAAAGGAACAGUACCAUUGCUGGAUAAUUGGAAAGUCCCUGUGUGUCAACCUUUGUGCUUCGUGGCAAGGUAGAUUAGCAAACAUGCCCAACCUUUACUCACAUUCGAGACAACACUCCCAACAGGAUUGCUUGCUCCAAAAUCGAAGAGGCACCGCCCUCCGAAUCUCAAGAGCCAGACUCCCAACAUGAUUACUUCCUCAAAAAUCGAAGAGACACUGCUCUCCGAAUUUCGAGAGCCAGACCCCCAGCAUGAUUGCUUUCUCAAAAAUCGAUGAGGCAUCGUUUUCCGAAUCUCGAGAGCCAGUUACCACAGACCACUUUUUCAAAAUGCUCUGACAGAGUUAAAACAUGUGAAACUGGCAGCUCCCACUACCGUGCUAUGACCAAGCAGGGUAAAGGAAUAGCAUUACUACUUGUUGUUAGGGAGACUCCUAUAUAUGUCGACCUCCAUCCCCAACGGACAGGCAGACCUGCAAAAAUGCUCAACCCUUCAUCAUAUCUGAGAGGGCACUCCCAACGAAGCCUUUUGAAAUAUUCAGCUUUCUUUCCCCCCGAUAAUACCUCUGCAAACAAGCUAUACUAGAGCAAGAAUAUCUCAUAUCAUCAGGGUUAAAAGCAAGAGUAUCCCAUAUCAUGCUUUUUCCCUGUCUUUUCCUUUGGCCUUGUUUUACCUGCAAGACAAGGAGAAAGAGAGCAAUCAGUCAGCACUUGGAAUCAAGCUUCCAGCCAGGAACUGACUGCCUGGAACCCCUUACCUGAUUACUUACCUGGCAUUGCUCUCGAGUACUCAUCUUCAACAUGUUAUGUUUCCAGGGAAGAUUCCGCAUCUGCUUGAGGAACAAAUAGGGCAAGUGCGAAGGAUACAAGGAAGCAUGUGGAGACAAGCGUAACAGCACACGUGCCGAUACAUCCAUUACUCUGUCAAAAAGCAAAAGUAUCCCAUAUCAGCAGGGUGGAACGUACUCUAGAUUUGAUGGACUUGUUUUGACCCUCAAAUUCUUCAGUCGGCCUUAUACUCUGGAGGAAACCAGAAAACCCUCCAGCUCAGUUCAAGAAUAAGCCUGUGGAAAGUUACUUCUUCAAAAGCAAAAGUAUCUCAUAUCAUCUCUUCUCAUUUUUCUUCUCUUUAUCCUUCAUGCUGCUGCAAGAUGGGGAGAAGGUGAACAAUCAGUCGGAGCUCUGAUUGCUUACCUUGUCUGUCACCUCUUUCAGCAGAACCCCUAGCUCGGCGACUUGGGGGACUCCUACUACAUGGUUUGUAUCGCGCUUGACCAAGCCUGAAACUACAAGUAAGCUUCAAGUGAAAUUGAUACAUUACCUUGUGCAUCUCCACCAGUUAAAGAUACCACCCCUGGAUGGAGGAAGAGUACUUCCAGAGAAGAUGCCACAUCUACCUAUGAGACAGAUAAGGCAAGUCAAGACGACACCACACUCCGAUACUUAGAAGUUUCGUGAUUACGAGAUCAUUCUCCCACAAUAUUUCCUAAUGUCAUUUGUACUAAAUCAUUCACUUGUACUCACUAAAGGAGAGCUUGAACCUAUGUACUUGUGUAAACCCUUCACAAUUAAUGAGAACUCUUCUAUUCCGUGGACGUAGCCAAUCUGGGUGAACCACGUACAUCUUGUGUUUGCUUUCCUAUCUCUGUCUCUAUCCAUUUAUAUACUUAUCCACACUAAUGACCGGAGCAAUCUAGCGAAGAUCACAAAAAGCGACCGUUUUCGCUACCUAGGAUCUAUCUUGCAAGAGAACGGAGAAUUAGAUGGAGAUCUCAACCAUAGAAUACGAGCUGGAUGGAUGAAGUGUAAGAGUGCAUCCGGCGUGUUGUGUGACCGUCGUAGGCCACUGAAGCUCAAGAGAAAAUUUUAUAGGACGGCAAUAAGGCCAGCGAUGUUUUAUGGCACAGAAUGUUGGGCGGUGAAGCAUCAACACGUACACAAAAUGGGUGUAGCGGAGAUGAGGAUGCUUCGUGGGAUGUGUGGGCACACGAGAAAGGAUAAGAUUGGGAAUGAGGAUAUCCGAGGUAAAGUAGGAGUAGCCGAAAUUGUAGGAAAGAUGAGAGAAAAUCGGCUCCGGUGAUUUGGACAUGUGCAAAGAAGGCCGACUGACGCUCCGGUUCGAAGAUGUGACUACGGGACAGAGGUUCAGGGCCGAAGGGGUAGAGGAAGACCUAGGAAAACUUUGGAAGAGACUCUAAGAAAAGAUUUAGAGUACUUGGAUCUAACGGAGGACAUGACACAAAACCGAGCGCAAUGGCGUUCUAGGAUUCAUAUAGCCGACCCCACUUAGUGGGAAAAGGCUUUGUUGUUGUUGUUGUUGUUAUUCAUGUCGGUUAUAACCGACAGGAAAGAUGAUUUUUCUGGCCAGCCUAGGGCUGGCUGGCUAGCUAGAAGUGGCCAGCCCUCUAGCCUUUGGCCCUUUCUGAUUCAGUGGGGCCCUCUGGCCUAGCCCUCGGUUGGAGAUGGUUUUAAGGCUAUUUUUGGCCCUCUGACCCUUUGGACCCUUCGGUUGGAGACGGCCUUAGCUCCCAAAGUAGAAAAGAAGCAUGGAAACAAAUGUCGCAUAUGAUAUCUUAUUCAAUGGAUAAACUUAAUUUGUCAAGAAUACACAUUUUAUUGAUAUUUAAGUAGCUGUUUCCCAACGUAUUGUUUCUGUUCUAAUAACCUGUGCAGAUUGCUUUGUUGGUAUAAGAAACUGUAUCUGUUAUGUAAAAGAAUUGUGCUCGUUGGUUUGAGCGUAUUCCAUUUGAUGUUGUUUUAUAGUGAUUACAAGAAGUAUUUGGAUGAAGAACAAACUCUUCAAACCAAAUUUACAGAUAAUACAAAUGAUAAAUAACCUAUUUUAUAUUCAAAAUACUUUCAACAGAUAAGGCUUAUCUCAGCCUUCCUUUUGACUAAUCUGAUUGCGAUCUUCAGUAAGUGUUGUGGCGGGAACCUUUGAAUUCGGACUUGGUUUAUCACACCCCCGCAAGCUGAGCGGUCGUCGGCGAACGGGAAGCUUGGAUAAAAGAUAGUUGAAACGAUGAGUAGACAGACCUUUAGUCAAAAAAUCAGCAACAUGAUCUUGAGUAGCUACAUAGCCCACCUGAAGUUCACCACGAGUAACCUUCUCACGAAUAUAAUGAUAGUCAACUUCCAUGUGACGGGUUCGUGCAUGAAAAACAGGGUUAGAGGCAAGGGAGAUUGCAGAAAUAUUAUCACACCACACCUUUGGAGGAGACAGAUGAAGAUGCAGGUCUUUAAAGAGUUGACGAAACCAUGAAAGAGUAGCUGCAGUUAUGGCAAGUUGUCUAUAUUCUGAUUCUGUGCUAGAGCGAGACACUCCUUUUUAAUUCUUAGAACUCCAGGACACAAGGUUUGGACCAAGAAAUAUAUAAGACCCGCCAGUGGAUUUGCGAUCAUCGAGGUCUCCUGCAUAAUCAGAGUCGGCAAAGGCAGUGAGGGUGAGAGGUCCAGAUUUGUACACAAGGCCAUGAUCGGGAGUGGACUUCAAAUAGCGAAAGAUGCGUUUAACAGCAAUCUAGUGUGUGGUGGUUGGUUGAUGCAUGAACUGGCAAACUUGGUUGAUAGAGAAGGCAAUAUCAGGGCGGGUGAAAGUAAGAUAUUGGAGUGCACUUACCACACUCCUAAACUCGGUGAUGUCUUGUAAGGGUUCGCCAUCAUAUAAGCUGAGGCGUUUGCCACUGACUGCAGGAGUAGAGACCGGUUUACAGUCCACCAUGUUUGUACGUUGAGCAAAUCAGAAAUAUAUUUAGACUAUGAGAGAUGAAGGCCAUGACUGGAGCGAUGAACCUCCAUACCCAAAAAAUAAGUGAGAGGACCAAGAUCUUUCAUUGAAAAAACCGAGCCCAUGUCCUUGAUCAAGGAGUUGAUACACUGAAUGUUGUUGCCUGUGAUAAGUAUGUCAUCGACAUAGACUAAUAAGUAAAUACGAAUUAAACCAUGACAAUACACAAAGAGAGAUGAGUCUGCUUGGGAGGCCACAAAACCAAGGUGUUCCAGAUGAUUAGAAAAACAUUGGAACCAUGCCCUAGGGGCCUGUUUAAGUCCAUACAACGAUCUACGCAAUUUACAGACAUGUGUGGGAUAUUAAGGAUCAACAAAACCAGUGAGUUGUUUCAUGUAAACUUCAUCAGAUAUGGAACCAUGUAAAAACGCAUUCUGAACAUCCAGUUGGCGUAUAGGCCAUGAAAAAUGAACAGCCAUAGCAAUAAUAAGACGAAUGGUUGAGUGGGUCACCACUGGACUAAAAGUUUCACCAUAAUCAAGACCUGGUUGUUGAUGAAAACCAUUAGCCACAAGACGAGCCUUAAACCGAUCAAUAGACCCAUCAAACUUGCGUUUAAUACGAAAGACCCAUUUAUUUGGUAGUACAUUCAUGGUAGGAGUAUAGGGUACCAAAGACCAUGUGCCCGUACGUUGUAGGGCAUUGAAUUCAUUAGCCAUAGCUGUCCUCCAUUCCUGAAAUUUAUUAGCUUGAUUGUAGCAUGUAGGUUCAGACAUAGCAGUGAUGGUGGAAGUAUGGGCAUACUUAGGGUUAGGUUUAGAAAUGCCAUCUUUUGCACGUGUAACCAUAGGAUGGAUAGUGGGGGGUGCUAGAGCGGAUGGGGUUGUCGAAAGGGGAGGGGGGAGUGGGGUAGGUGGAAGUGACGUUAAAGGUAAUUGAUUGUUUACUGGAGGUGUGGAAAUGGGGGGGGGGAUAGUAGGGUAGGGUGGGAGGAGGGUAAAGGUGAGUGGAUGGGAGAGGAAAUAGGAGUCAAAGGGUGUGUGAUAAAGACGGGUGAGGGAAUGUGAGUUUCUGAAAGAGUGUUGGAAUGGGUAAUGGAAGUAUGGGAUAAAGUAGGAUUAUGUGGCGAAUUUGGGGGGGAUGGAAAAGUGAGUUCAGGGUUCCCAAGAGUAAUGGGAUGGUUAUCAUGCAGAGAGGAUGGUACGGGAGUAACACUGAGAUUUGCAUGAAAUGGAAAACAAUUUUCAUAAAAAAGAACAUGUUUAGACAUGAAGACACGACCGGUGCAUAGGUCAAGGCACCUAUACCCUAAUUGAUUUUGAGAAUAACCUAAGAAAACACACUUUUUGGAACGAAAAUGCAAUUUUGUUGACAUGUAUGGACGUAGGUAUGGAAAACAAGCACACCCAAAAACUUUAAAAAAAUCAUAGGAUGGUUCUCGAUGAAAUAAUUUUGUGUAUGGAGAAGAUAAGUUCAAAACUUUAGUUGGCAGACGAUUUAUUAAAAAAUUAGCAGUAUGUAGAGCUUCAGCCCAAUAGGUUUGUGGCAUGGACGUAUGAGCAAGAAGAGUGAGACCAGUUUCAACCAAAUGACGAUGUUUACGUUCUACCAUACCGUUUUGUUCAGGAUGGUGAGGGCAUGUAUAUUGAUGAUGAAUGCCAUGUUUUUCUAAAUAAGAUUUAAAAUUGUUGUUAAUAUAUUCUCUUCCACCAUCCGUUUGAAAAGUUUGGAUUUUUCGUUGAAAUUUAUUCUCCAUUUCAGUUUUAAAUUUAAUGAAUGUGGAGAACACAUCAGAUUUUAGUUUUAAAGGAUAUAGCCAUGUAUAUCGCGAAAAAUCAUCAAUGAAAAUCACAUAAUAUCGAAAACCAGAAAUUGACAAAGUAGGGGACAUCCAUACAUCAGAAUGAAUAAGUUGUAAAGGAAAAUGGGAAAUAGAAUUUGAUGGUAAAAAUGGCAAUUUCUUGCUUUUGCCCAAAGGGCAUGAAUGACAGACAGAAUUAAAAUGGUGCCUAGUAAGAGGCACUUUGCACGAUACACGCUUUUCAGUUUCGUAGUGUUAAAAUUUGGACUUGAAUUUGAUACUAUGAUUCUAUGAACCUGUGUUCAAUCUCGACUGACCUCCACAUGACUUGGAGCUUACUCUACCUUUAUCUCAUCUCCACCACCUCUGUAGUAUCGACCGAAUAUGGAUCGAGCUGAGGUGGGCUUUACACACACCAGGGUCCAGAUUCAUUAACUAAUGAGCCCAUAAGUCCAUUUGGUCGCAGUAGGCAAUAUCCAAGCGCUUAUCUGUCGGGUCCAUCUUAUGCUAAUGAAAUGGCUGGCCUGACCUGGAAUCCAACCUGGUACAAAAUGGCUGACCUGAUCUGAUGAGAUGAACCACACCUCAACGGGCUUCAAAAGGUCGUCGAACCACACCUCAGAUCCUAUCUGAAUCUCGCAGUCCAAAAUUCACAAACCAAGAUAUUCAAACUGUUCAAGAGAGGGGAGAGAGAAUUCGGACCCCAUGUGUGAUGUGGGCCAAUAGGAUAGGCUAAUGGAUGCCGUAUGAUUUAAAAUGAAUGGUCCGGAUCUCUGCGUCCGUUUGUGCCAGAUUGUGACAUUCGGAGAGGAUCUCGAUUGCUUAACCCGUGAUUAUCUCAACUCGGCCUCAAGUGUUUUACCCCAAUGACGUAUAUAAUACAUUAAAAAACUUCAGUUAGUACUUAGUUUUUUGUGAAUACAUAAAUGGAGACUUAGUCGUCUUUGUCUUUGUGAAGAUAUUUUUGCAUUUUUCAUAAGUCUCUUAUCACUUGAAGACUUUGUUUGGUCAUGGAGGUCUGUUUUCAGAUUUGACACCACCUGUAUCCGUCCUCAAUCAGCAUUUUCUUUGUGAGCCCCAUUAUUGAUUUUGACUGGUGGACUUGAAUGGCCGGCAGAUGCGUGAGUCAUGCUCGUAUUUACUAGUCUUUUUGGUUUGGAACAUUCAUAUAUAUUAUAUAUUAUAUAUUGAAACCUAGAAUCUCCAGUGUAGUGAUAAAUAUUCUUAAUUAUUUAAGUUAGUCAUUUGCUGGUUUGGAACAUUUAUAAGUGCUUAAGUAGAAUCAUAAAACGGACUAGGGACGAGAGUAAGAUGAAAAGAGAUUUGAGAGAGACAAGUCAACGGGUUAUUACUAAUUAAAUCAAUAUUGCUCUAACUUGCAACAUUACAAAGAGUUGAGGAAGACAAUAAGUUCUAUCACAGAAAGUUUCGUUGUUAUUAUGUAUAAAACUAUUCUUUAUAUUAUUUUUUUUCAAAGUGAAAUUCUUGUACUUUUACCAAUGAUUCAAUGUGUAAUUUGAUCCCGAUAUGUGUAGGUUCGGAGAAAUUGUUGUGUAGGCCCGGAGAAAUUUUUGUGUGUGAUCGUAGCAAGGUCUGAGGUCCCGUCGUGGCUGAUGGGUAACACGGACUUCAAAAAAUGGGGUAGACGCCUUUAAUUCCAGAAAACAACAUAGAAAAUGACAGGCAUGGAGAUUAGUCAAGUCUAAACUAUGGUGCACGCAUAUUUACUUGAAGAGAUAACAGGGAACCAAUGCUUUAUUAAGAAAAAUAUAGCUAAUCAAUAAAGCUAAGUUGAAAAAUUGGUGCUUUUGCAAUGGCAGUGGCUCUUUCUGUACGGAUGCUUUUGUUCUUCUCACUGUUUUUGCUACCAGUUUCUGUGUUUUCCCAAAAUAAUGGAAGAGUAGCAGUUGGGAGUUCUCUGACUGCAAGUACAGGCGACUCCUCAUCAUGGCUUUCUCCAUCCGGCGAUUUCGCGUUUGGAUUUUCGCCCCUCGGAAACAAUGAUUUUUUCUUGCUUUCGAUAUGGUAUGCGAAAAUCCCAGACGAAACCGUAGUUUGGUAUGCAUAUGACGGUAACAACCCCAUCGUUGCACCUAGGGGAUCAGUUCUGACCUUGACUGCCAACGGUGGACUAGUUCUUAACAAUCCUCAGGGUGGAGAGAUAUGGAAAUCCGAAACAACUUUCGGGAUUGUUGAGAACGGGGUCAUGAAUGACACCGGAAACUUUGUCCUUCAAGACAAAAACUCAGAGAGCUUGUGGGAGACCUUCAGCAAUCCCACAGACACCGUUUUGCCUGGACAGACAAUUGAGAAAAGUGGGAAGCUUUCGUGUAGACAAUCGGAGACUAACUACACAAAGGGGCGGUUCCAGCUGCGCUUGCAAGAUGAUGGAAACCUCGUGCUCAACACCGUCAACUUGCCAACAGAUUUUGCCAACAACCCUUACUUCGCCACGGACACGAUCGCAGGGACUGUGGAAGGUAGUCAAGGUAAACAAUUCGUGUUCAACAGCUCAGGGUACAUGUUUGUUCUGAGAGAAAAUGGUGGAAGAUUCACUCUUACAGGGCCACAGGGAGUCUCGACGAGAGACAACUACAUAAGGGCAACUCUUGAUUUUGAUGGGAUUUUCACUUUAUAUUCUCACCCGAAAAACUUCACUGGAAAUCCAAGCUGGAGUAGUCCUCUGUGGUAUACACCGGAUGAUAUUUGCCAAAAACUUCUUGAAGACGAGGGCGUUGGUGUUUGUGGUUACAACAGUGUCUGUAAGCUCAAACCAGAUAGUAAUAGGCCAACCUGCGAAUGCCCAAAAGGGUUUUCUUUUCUUGAUCCGAAGGAUAUAUACCGAGGCUGCAAACCCGAUUUUAUACAAGGCUGUGAAGAAGAUGAGCUGCAAGGUCCCAGAAACGAUUUGUAUGAUGUCCAAGUGCUGACAAAUACUGAUUGGCCAACCUCAGAUUAUGUGCAGCUAAAGCCUUCUACGGCGGACAAGUGCAACGAGUCUUGCUUUCAAGACUGUUUGUGCGCUGUUGCUGUGUUCCGGUCUGAAACCUGCUGGAAAAAGAAGUUACCUCUCUCAAACGGGAGAGUGGAUGUCAGUCUUAAUUCACAGACCUUCAUAAAAGUCCGAAAGGAUAAUGUAACUCUGCCGUUUCCUCCAAAGCCAAUUCCAGAUGAUAAAGAGAAGAGCCGGAAAUCUGUGAUACGCGUAGAAUCAGUACUAUUAGGUACCUCUAUCUUUGUUAAUUUUGUCUUAAGUUCUGCUCUUUGUUUCGGUAUUUUCUUCAUUUUCCGGAAGAAACCUGUAACAUCUAGUACCGAUAUUGUUUUGGACUCGAAUUUGCGCUCUUUUUGCUAUGAAGAGCUGCGAGAAGCUACAAAUGGUUUCACGGAAGAAUUAGGAAAGGGUGCUUUUGGAGUGGUUUUCAAAGGGGUGAUGCAAAUUGGUUCUGGUGUCGAAGUGGCGGUGAAGAAGCUAAACUAUGUUAUGCAAGAUGUCGAGAAGGAGUUUAAAACAGAACUGAAAGUAAUUGGUCAGACACAUCACAAGAAUCUGGUUCGUCUUUUUGGAUAUUGUGACGAGGGGCAACAGAGAUUACUAGUUUAUGAGUUCUUGAGAAAUGGCACAUUGGCAAGCUUUCUUUUUUCUGAUAUCAAACCAAGUUGGAGACAGCGAAUUGACAUCGCUUAUGGCGUUGCACAGGGGCUUCUGUACUUGCAUGAAGAGUGCAGCACGCAGAUUAUCCAUUGUGACAUAAAGCCGCAGAACAUACUUCUCGAUGAUUAUUACACUGCUCGGAUCUCUGAUUUUGGUUUGGCAAAACUUAUGCUGAUGAAUCAGAGCCAGACUCAUACCGCCAUCCGAGGAACAAAAGGUUAUGUUGCACCUGAGUGGUUCAGGAACUUGCCGAUCACUACCAAAGUUGAUGUGUACAGCUUUGGUGUUGUGCUGCUAGAAAUCGUUUGUUGUAGGAGAAGCGUUGACAUGGAAGGUAACUGUGAAGAGAGCGCAAUUUUAACGUAUUGGGUUUAUGAUUGCUACGUUGAAGGAGGACUAGAUGCUGUUGUAGAUUAUGAAGUUGAGGCCUUGGGUGAUCGAACGACACUGGAAAAGUUUGUGAUGGUUGCGAUUUGGUGUAUUCAGGAAGAUCCAUCUCUUAGGCCUACUAUGAGGAAGGUUGUGCAGAUGCUUGAAGGAGUUGUCGAAGUGCCUGUUCCACCAUGUCCAUCCCCAUAUACCAGAUAAG